GUAGGGAAAGAUUGGCGGAGAGAACGAGAACGACGGGCGGACAACCGAAAGGAGGAGGGGCAGCUGAGAAGUAGGCGGUGCUUUGGGAAGAGGCAAACCCAUCGGCACGUGGGCAACCAUCUGGGAUCUAAUGACGUGGGAA
ensembl:ncRNA B0457.13 ncRNA